rnacentral:rRNA from 1 species
GUGAGGAAUAUUGGACAAUGGAGGCAACUCUGAUCCAGCCAUGCCGCGUGCAGGAAGACUGCCCUAUGGGUUGUAAACUGCUUUUAUACGGGAAGAAACACCGCUACGU